rnacentral:rRNA from 1 species
AUUGAACGCUAGCGGGAUGCUUUACACAUGCAAGUCGAACGAGUGGCGGACGGGUGAGUAAUAUGUCGGAACGUGCCCAGUAGGGGGGGAUAACUACUCGAAAGAAUGGCUAAUACCGCAUACUAUGGGAGAGGCCGCUAGCGGAUUAGCUAGUUGGUGGGGUAAAGGCUCACCAAGGCCACGAUCCGUAGCUGGUUUGAGAGGAGGACCAGCCACACUGGGACUGAGACACGGGCCAGACUCCUACGGGAGGCAGCAGUGGGGAAUUUUGGACAAUGGGGGAAACCCUGAUCCAGCCAUCCCGCGUGUAUGAGAAGGCCUUCGGGUUGUAAAGUACUUUUGGCAGAGAAGCGGUAUCUGCAGAAGAAGCACCGGCUAACUACGUGCCAGCAGCCGCGGUAAUAC